rnacentral:rRNA from 1 species
GAGGUUCAUCCUGCUCUAUGAUAUUUAUUAAAUGGCCGCGGUAUCCUGACCGUGCAAAGGUAGCAUAAUCAUUUGCCUCCUAAUUAGAGGCUGGAAUGAAUGGACACACGAAAUCUAAGCUGUCUCACAGGUUUUAAUAAAAAUUUUUCUCCAAGUGAAGAAACUUGGAUAAAUUUGAAAGACAAGAAGACCCUAAUGAGCUUUAAUUCUGUYAUGUUUCYCUYUAAAAUUUWAAUUAUUAACCAAAYUUAACAGAAUUUUUGUUGGGGCGACAAAAGAAAUCAAGUUACUUCUUUACAUUAAAUAAGAGCAAUUCCUCUAUAUAUUUGACCUAAUUAUAAUUAAUCAAUAGCACUAGCUACCAUAGGGAUAACAGACUAAUUUUUCUCCAGAGCUCAAAUUUACAGAAAAGAUUGGCACCUCGAUGUUGGCUUAGAGGCCCCUUAUGAUGCAGCAGUCAU